rnacentral:rRNA from 1 species
CACGUAGGGCGCAAGCGUUGUCCGGAAUUAUUGGGCGUAAAGAGCUCGUAGGCGGUCUGUUGCGUCCGCUGUGAAAACUCGGGGCUUAACCCCGAGCCUGCAGUGGAUACGGGCAGACUAGAGGUAGGUAGGGGAGAAUGGAAUUCCCGGUGUAGCGGUGAAAUGCGCAGAUAUCGGGAGGAACACCGGUGGCGAAGGCGGUUCUCUGGGCCUCACCUGACGCUGAGGAGCGAAAGCGUGGGGAGCGAACAGG